rnacentral:rRNA from 1 species
GAUGAACGCUGGCGGCGUGCCUAAUACAUGCAAGUCGAGCGAACGGACGAGAAGCUUGCUUCUCUGAUGUUAGCGGCGGACGGGUGAGUAACACGUGGAUAACCUACCUAUAAGACUGGGAUAACUUCGGGAAACCGGAGCUAAUACCGGAUAAUAUUUUGAACCGCAUGGUUCAAAAGUAAAAGACGGUCUUGCUGUUACUUAUAGAUGGAUCCGCGCUGCAUUAGCUAGUUGGUAAGGUAACGGCUUACCAAGGCAACGAUGCAUAGCCGACCUGAGAGGGUGAUCGGCCACACUGGAACUGAGACACGGUCCAGACUCCUACGGGAGGCAGCAGUAGGGAAUCUUCCGCAAUGGGCGAAAGCCUGACGGAGCAACGCCGCGUGAGUGAUGAAGGUCUUCGGAUCGUAAAACUCUGUUAUUAGGGAAGAACAUAUGUGUAAGUAACUGUACACAUCUUGACGGUACCUAAUCAGAAAGCCACGGCUAACUACGUG